CUGCUGCCUCCCGUAGGAGUCUGGGCCGUGUCUCAGUCCCAAUGUGGCCGUCCGCCCUCUCAGGCCGGCUACUGAUCGUCGCUUUGGUGGGCCGUUACCCCGCCAACUGGCUAAUCAGACGCGGGUCCAUCUCAUACCACCGGAGUUUUCAACAUCCCGGCAUGCACCGGAAUGUGUUAUGCGGUAUUAGCACCUGUUUCCAGGUGGUAUCCCCCGGUAUGAGGCAGGUUACCCACGCGUUACUCACCCGUCCGCCA
rnacentral:rRNA from 1 species